UACGAAGGGGCUAGCGUUGUUCGGAAUUACGUGGGCGUAAAGCGCACGUAGGCGGGCGAUUAAGUCAGGGGUGAAAGUCCCGGAGCUCAACUCCGGAACUGCCUUGAUACUGGUCGUCUAGAGAUCGGAAGAGGUGAGUGGAAUUCCCAGUGUAGAGGUGAAAUUCGUAGAUAUUGGGAAGAACACCGGUGGCGAAGGCGGCUCACUGGCUCAUUACUGACGCUCAGGCGCGAUAGCGUGGGGAUCAAACAGG
rnacentral:rRNA from 1 species